rnacentral:rRNA from 1 species
CGUGUCGAAAAUCUUGCUACUACUUUAGGUUUUAAUCAUGCUUAUGCUGUGGGCAGUUCGGGCCGCAGCGGUGGAAUCGGUAUUUUUUGGAACAAUGGAAUAAAUCUGGAUGUUUUUGGUUACUCUCAGUAUCAUGUUGAUGCUAAAGUGUCUAUGCCUAACCAUAGUGAAUGGAGGCUGACAUGCGUUUAUGGGGAAGCUCAAGUUAGUGAGAGAUAUAAAACCUGGGAUCUACUCAAAUCACUUGUAUCUGCGAGCGCCUUGCCUUGGCUCUGUAUAGGUGAUUUUAAUGAGGUUCUCAAUCCUCAUGAACACAUG